UAUGUGAUCGUCUCUCGCAUAUCAAUAAGCGGAGGAAAAGAAACUAACAAGGAUUCCCCUAGUAACGGCGAGUGAAGCGGGAAGAGCUCAAAUUUGAAAUCUUAAAGGGUUUCCCUUUACGAAUUGUAGUUUAAAGAAGGUGUUUUCUGUUGAGGUUUUGGUAAAAGUUCUUUGGAAUAGGACAUCAUAGAGGGUGAGAAUCCCGUAUUUGACCUUUACUUUCAACUUUGUGAUACACUUUCAAAGAGUCGGAUUGUUUGGGAAUGCAGUCCAAAAUGGGUGGUAAAUUUCAUCUAAAGCUAAAUAUUGGCGAGAGACCGAUAGCGAACAAGUACCGUGAGGGAAAGAUGAAAAGAACUUUGAAAAGAGAGUUGAACAGUACGUGAAAUUGUCAAAAGGGAAGCGUUUGACACCAGUGUUGUUUUUCUGAAAAUCAAUUAAAGAACUGUUUAUGCUAAGCUGUUUAGACUUUAUCAGCUAUCUGUUUAGUUUUGAGCUUUUCUUUAAUGCACUUUUCAGUUAACAAGUCAACAUCAAUUUCUUUUGCUGUAAAAAAGCUUGAGGAAGGUGGCUUGAGAUUCGUCUUAAGUGUUUAUAGCCUCUUGCCUAUGCAGUCGGAGAGAUUGAGGUCUGCAGCGUAGAUCCUUCGGGGCUAAAUGCAUUUGUGCUAAGUUAUAGCAUUUUAUAGACAACUUGUUGACUAUGAUUUGUCUUGUAGCUUACUCGCUUAUGUUAUUUUACCUACGCUUAGGAUGUUGAUAUGCAUGACUGAUAU
rnacentral:rRNA from 1 species